CCUACGGGAGGCAGCAGUGAGGAAUAUUGGUCAAUGGCCGAGAGGCUGAACCAGCCAAGUCGCGUGAGGGAAGACGGCCCUACGGGUUGUAAACCUCUUUUGUCGGGGAGCAAAGCGCGUCACGUGUGACUCUUUGAGAGUACCCUACGAAUAAGCAUCGGCUAACUCCGUGCCAGCAGCCGCGGUAAUACGGAGGAUGCGAGCGUUAUCCGGAUUUAUUGGGUUUAAAGGGUGCGCAGGCGGGGGUGCAAGUCAGCGGUAAAAUUGCGGGGCUCAACCCCGUACUGCAGUUGAAACUGGAUGCCUUGAGUGCGCGAGAAGUAGGCGGAAUGCGUGGUGUAGCGGUGAAAUGCAUAGAUAUCACGCAGAACUCCGAUUGCGAAGGCAGCAUACCGGAGCGCAACUGACGCUCAUGCACGAAAGCGUGGGUAUCGAACAGGAUUAGAUACCCCUGUAGUC
rnacentral:rRNA from 1 species